CACACAUUUAUUACCUUACAGGUCUGGAGGCCUGAAGUCCAAAACUCGUCUCAUGGGGCUAAAGUCAAGACAUGGGCAGGGCUGGUUCCUUCUGGAAGUUCUGAGAAAGAAUCCAUUUCCCGACUUUUCCAGCAUCUAGAGGCCACUUGCACUCAUUGGCCCGUGGCCCCUUCCUCAGCUCUCUGAUUCUGCUUCUGUGCACACGUCGUCCCUGACCCCCCUGCCUCCCCCUCUUCACUUAUAAGGACCCUUUUGAUUACAUUGGUCCCACUCGGAAAAUCCAUGAUGCUCUGGCCCAUCUCAAGAUCCUUAAUCACAUUUGCAAAAUCCUUUUGCCACAUAAGGUAACAUAGUCACCGGCACUGGGGAUUAGGACCUGGAUAUCUUGGGCGCCAUCAUUCUGCUGAUCGUCCCGAUACCCAGCCUUUCAGUGCGCUCAGUGUUGAAGUGGGCAUUAGCCUCAGCUGACUGAGGAGGAAGAGAGUAACUGGUCCGUCACUGGGCAGGAAGGAGAGUAGAACAUGGCGCGAUAUGAACGCUGCCGAUGGCCACUAACACCCUGGCUGCUGCCCCAGAACGUCUCCCCUUCUUGUUUGUGCACAGGACCCCAGCAAAAUCACUGCGACACCAGCCCCGCCUGUCAGCAGCACAGAGGAGAAAAAGCAAAGCAAGUCACAGCAGCUGAGAAAGAUUUUUCAAGAGUAUGGUGCCGUUGGCGUGUCGCUGCACAUCGGAAUCUCACUCAUCUCCUUGGGCAUAUUUUACAUGGUGGUUUCAAGUGGUGUGGACAUGUCUGCAAUCCUGCUUAAACUCGGAUUUAAAGAGUCGCUGGUGCAGUCCAAAAUGGCAGCGGGCACAAGCACCUUUGUGGUGGCCUACGCCAUCCACAAGCUCUUUGCCCCCGUGCGAAUCAGCAUCACCUUAGUUUCUGUGCCCUUCAUUGUCAGAUAUUUUCGCAAAGUGGGAUUUUUUAAACCUCCAGCUGCAAAGCCUUGAUGAACUCUUCAAACCUAUUUCUUUUAAAUAGAAAUUUUAGGUUAGUUUUAGGAUAGAGCUUUUCCGUGAGGGGUGGGUAGGGUGGGAACAGAAAGCUAAUUGCUAUGUUCUCAUGAAUAAGUUUUACCUUUGGCAGCAAAAUUCAGGUUUUUUAAUGAUUGUAAUUAAUUUGCUUUACAAAUAUUACAAAUGCUAUUGAUGGUAGGGCUUGUAUACAUAAUCUUAAAUGUCAGCAAAACAUCACAAAUUGAGUUGUCACCUCGAACAAAACUGUUAGCCUACAAAAUGUUCCUUCUGGAAGAUCAUUGGUGAGGUUCUAGUCUGCAGAAGCCCCAGGGGUUACUCUUCACUCAAAUUCUUAAAGGGCAACGAUUCAUUAAGCUGGUUUUUAAAAUUCCCCUUUCUCCAAUAUCUGUUGUCAGGCUGCCUGCGGUUUAAUAUGCAAUAUUCUGCAAAACAGCUGCCAGUGUUACAAUUAAUGAAGCAGAAUUUAAGACUCAACAAUAUGUAAUCAGGAUCUAAAUUAGCAGCAACGCUUUGAUGUUCAUUACACUUGUUUUAGGAAGGAAAAAUAACCAAGUAUUUCUAGUGUGUUUCAUUGACCCUAAAACACCUUCAAAUCUGGACAUGAUGGUCCCUACCUCAGGUGGCUUUUCUCAAAUUUCAUGGAAGUAGGUCAGGGUCAUUUAUCUCUGUUUAGGCAAAAUGGAAAUUUUAUCCAGUAGUAGUAGCAUCACGUGGCUCCUGACGGCCUUAUCCACAGGUGAAUUUGGAUACUGUACACAUGGAAAGCUAAGACAAUCUUCGCUUAACCCUCUGUCAAACUUCAGGCAUUCCAGAACUACUGUCACAAUGUUUACGUUGUGUUGCUACUUAUAUUUUUUAACUGAGUUAAAAUUGUUAUGUAGAAAAAGAUUUUGUAACAAUCUCUAAGAAGGAAAAUUAGUGUGCUUGCUGUAAAUGGGAGGCAACUGUGAAAUACUGUGAACUAAUACAAAAUAAUACAAGCCGAGGGAGAGGGGCGGGCAGGUGUAAUUACUUUCUGUUGAGCCAGUUUUACCUGAUAAAGCAUGUUUGAUGUGAGCCCCCCCCCAUUGCUGUGAGGGACGUUAUUAGUUAAGAACAGAAACUCAAGCACACAGAUUCAAAUUGAGACUUUUGUCCCUGGAACACUUAGGAGCAGACAGACUGGAGGGAAUUCCUUUCUGUGGGAUUCACGUAAUGCUACCCUCCGGGCCAUAUUCACACAGCAUGGUCCACACUGGAACCUGGAUUCAAUCCGUUCUGCCCUGCCACCUUGAUCGAGGGAGAUACAAUUUUGGUGGGGGGAGUUAAUUACAGAUGUGACAAUCAGAAAACUAAAGGAACUAUAAAUUGACCCUCCUGGUUUUACCAGCUGGCUGCUGACCGUUCCCUGGUUAAGCCUUAGUAACCUAUGUCCGUUAUUUCAGUUAAUUUACAAGAAGCUUUGUGGGACAAAUUCUCCACUUGUAAGAUCAUUAAAGUGGAUUCUCCCCCCCCCCUUUUAAAGCAAUUAGCCAAUUGCCAAAAGGCUUUACCGAUUUCAAGUUGGAACUGCCUUUCUGGGAUCUAAUUCCAAGGACAUCGACACAGCUGAGCAAGAUGCCUGCUAAGAGUGCUAGGCAGUCCCUCCCUGUGGUCUGGUCUCUGUUCACACAGCUGGCUUCACACUCUAACCACCUUCUCGACCAGUCUCCCUACCACUCAGAUCCCUAGUAAUGCCUAUGCAAAACAAAAAACAAACAAAACUGACAGUGAGUCCUACAGGUUUAAGGGCUGAAAUCUUAAAACUUUGAUUCCACGUUUGGAGGAAUGGAAGUGGACAGGGCAAGCAAUAAAACCAAUCACCAAACCA
rnacentral:lncRNA from 1 species